rnacentral:lncRNA from 1 species
UGCACAUGUGGGAGCUGAAGCAAGUCGACGGAGAGGGAAAGCAGUGGGUAGAGGUGGAGAAAAUGCCCCACGAGUACUUCCAGAUUUUCUUCAAGGAGAGGACUGCUACGGAUCUCAAGUGCUCCGGGCACGGCGACCUGGUGUACUUCUACAAGGAUUCACACACCCAGGUAUUCAGUCCAUUAUCAAAACUCAUGCACAGCCAGCUUCUGAUUGCCAGCUUCUAACCUGUGAUAAGAUUGCACAGCCCUGAAACAUUCCACAACUAACACAAAACAGUUCAACCUCGCAACUGGGUACUUGCAGGUAUUGGUGUGCGAUUUCUCGAAGAAACAAACCGAGUGGAGGUGGCUUCCCAAGUGUCCGCUCAGCAUGAACUUCUUGAAAUUCUCCAUUCGGGGCCUGUUCCUGGACCCCACUCUGGACGCUUCCGUAUGAUUCAAUCCUAUAUACAUGGUAUAUAUAAAAUAUAUGACAAAAUAAGUAG